UACGUAGGGUGCAAGCGUUGUCCGGAAUUAUUGGGCGUAAAGAGCUCGUAGGCGGUUUGUCGCGUCUGCUGUGAAAACGCGAGGCUCAACCUCGCGCCUGCAGUGGGUACGGGCAGACUAGAGUGCGGUAGGGGAGAAUUGGAAUUCCUGGUGUAGCGGUGGAAUGCGCAGAUAUCAGGAGGAACACCGAUGGCGAAGGCAGAUCUCU
rnacentral:rRNA from 1 species